CUUGCUGCCCAGAGUCUUCCGGAGGUGACCUUGACAAUUAAAAGGCUUUCUGAGCUGGCCAUCAGUGAAAGAGUGACAUACAUCUUGACAGAAGCACAGGCAGAGCACGUGCGAGCUGCUUUCAACUGUACUGUGUGCAAGGGGACAGUGAGUGAGCCAGUUCUUUCCGCCUGCUGUAAAACCCUCCUAGGAUGCAAGGUCUGCAUUGACCAGUGGCUUCAAAAUGCAUCGCAGUGUGUGAAGUGUAGAGAGGAAAACUUCAGAGCCAAUGUGAUUGUUGUCACUGGUCUGUCUGAGGCAUUGUUAGCCUUAAAGGAUAUCAUAAAAGUGGAUUAAGUGCUGCAUCAGUGGAUCUAAGUUUGAGUUACAGUGUUCAGUUAAACGUUGUUUUGUUAUAGUGCUACUUAAAUGUUUACAGUAACACAACCCUAGGACUGGGAUAGUUACAUACAUAACCUUACUAUGCUUGUCUUUUAGUUAAGUUAAUAAGAUAGAUCACUGCAUCUUUAAAAGGUGAAAGAUUUUUAUUAACUGCGCUGUUGAACAGAUCUGCCAUGUCAGGGUAAGUUUCAGCAAAAAGACGUUCAACCAUAGCCUUCUCUUCUUCUGUUGAAAAGGGGUCUGUUCCAAAUGACGACUCUCUUGUUAAGGUGCCUCCCAGUUCCUCAGCGUAAAGGUUGGCUGCUUCAGGUGCCGGAGGCAGUAAGACCUGUGAGACCUGUUUAGGGCACCCACCCCCUGCAAGUUGAUUGGGGACACCUUUUCCUGUAAUUGAAUUGUUCAGAUGAGUACAAUACACCCAAUAAAGAGUGUCUGGAUCAUAUG